rnacentral:rRNA from 1 species
GAUGAACGCUGGCGGCGUGCCUAAUACAUGCAAGUCGAGCGAACGGACGAGAAGCUUGCUUCUCUGAUGUUAGCGGCGGACGGGUGAGUAACACGUGGAUAACCUACCUAUAAGACUGGGAUAACUUCGGGAAACCGGAGCUAAUACCGGAUAAUAUUUUGAACCGCAUGGUUCAAAAGUGAAAGACGGUCUUGCUGGCACUGAUAGAUGGAUCCGCGCUGCAUUAGCUAGUUGGUAAGGUAACGGCUUACCAAGGCAACGAGGCAUAGCCGACCUGUGCGGGUGAUCGGCCACACUGGACCUGAGACACGGUCCAGACCCCUACGGGAGGCAGCAGUAGGGAAUCUUCCGCAAUGGGCGGAAGGCUGACGGAGCACCGCCGCGUGAGUGAUAAAGGUCUUCGGAUCGUAAAACUCUGUUAUUAGGGAAGAACAUGUGUGUAAGUAACUGUGCACAUCUUGACGGUACCUAAUCAGAAAGCCACGGCUAACUCCGUG